rnacentral:rRNA from 1 species
UACGGGGGGGGCAAGCGUUGUUCGGAAUUACUGGGCGUAAAGGGCGCGUAGGCGGGCGGGCAAGUCUCUCGUGAAAGCCCACGGCUCAACCGUGGAAUUGCGGGAGAUACUGCCUGUCUUGAGUCCGGGAGAGGAGGGUGGAAUUCCCAGUGUAGCGGUGAAAUGCGUAGAUAUUGGGAGGAACACCGGUGGCGAAGGCGGCUCUCGGGACAGGUACUGACUCUGAGGCGCGAAAGCUAGGGGAGCAAACGGG